CCAGCCACUGCCCUCCAGCACAGCUGCCAUGGCUGCUCCUCGCAAGCAUUACAACCAGCCCCAGCUGCGAGGCUUCCCGAUUUAAGUCUGGUAACUUAACCUUUUAUGCAUUCUUCAGGAGUACAGUAAUGUGUUGUGAUACUUCAGCAAGCCUGUGUCUUUCUCACUGCCUGUCCAACUCAAAGGGGAAAAGAAACUCAGAAUUUAUUCCUUUUCUGGAUUAACAGCAUAUCUUUAUCCCUUGUUGUGUCUUCAGGGACACUCCUCCAAGUGGCCCUACCUUCUAGCUGUCAUUUCUCAAAGAAGUUUGAUGGAGUUAAUGAAAGAUAAAGAUAAUUCAUGAAGAGCUACGUUUCUGGUCUUUCGGGUUCUAAUGAAGUUCAACCUUUGACAUGGAUCAGAAUAAUCAAGACAAUGAAGAAGAGUAAUCAGUAUAAGAGAGCACCAGAGUUUUGGACCAACUGUGCUAAAAACUAUACUUGAAGCACCAUCUUUGAUUUUUUUUUUUUCUUCUGAA